AACGAACGCUGGCGGCAUGCCUAACACAUGCAAGUCGAACGAGACCUUCGGGUCUAGUGGCGCACGGGUGCGUAACGCGUGGUAACCUGCCCUUAGGUUCGGAAUAACUCCCCGAAAGGGGUGCUAAUACCGGAUAAUGUCUUCGGACCAAAGAUUUAUCGCCUUUGGAUGGGCCCGCGUUGGAUUAGCUAGUUGGUAGGGUAAAAGCCUACCAAGGCGACGAUCCAUAGCUGGUCUGAGAGGAUGACCAGCCACACUGGGACUGAGACACGGCCCAGACUCCUACGGGAGGCAGCAGUGGGGAAUAUUGGACAAUGGGCGAAAGCCUGAUCCAGCAAUGCCGCGUGAGUGAUGAAGGCCUUAGGGUUGUAAAGCUCUUUUACCCGGGAUGAUAAUGACAGUACCGGGAGAAUAAGCUCCGGCUAACUCCGUG
rnacentral:rRNA from 1 species